rnacentral:tRNA from 3 species
CAAAGUGUAGCUUAACAAAAAGCAUCUGGCCUACACCCAGAAGACCUCAUUUACAAUGAUCACUUUGA